rnacentral:rRNA from 1 species
AUUGAACGCUGGCGGCAUGCCUUACACAUGCAAGUCGAACGGUAACAGGUCUUCGGAUGCUGACGAGUGGCGAACGGGUGAGUAAUACAUCGGAACGUGCCUAGUAGUGGGGGAUAACUACUCGAAAGAGUGGCUAAUACCGCAUGAGAUCUACGGAUGAAAGCAGGGGAUCGCAAGACCUUGUGCUACUAGAGCGGCCGAUGGCAGAUUAGGUAGUUGGUGGGAUAAAAGCUUACCAAGCCGACGAUCUGUAGCUGGUCUGAGAGGACGAUCAGCCACAUUGGGACUGAGAACCAGCCCAGACUCCUACGGGAGGCAGCAGUGGGGAAUUUUGGACAAUGGGCGAAAGCCUGAUCCAGCAAUGCCGCGUGCAGGAUGAAGGCCUUCGGGUUGUAAACUGCUUUUGUACGGAACGAAAAGCCCCGGGUUAAUACCCUGGGGUCAUGACGGUACCGUAAGAAUAAGCACCGGCUAACUACGUGCCAGCCGCCGCAGUAA